UACGGGGGGUGCAAGCGUUAAUCGGAAUUAUUGGGCGUAAAGGGUGCGUAGGUGGUUGUGUAAGUUAUACGAUAAAGACCUGGGCUUAACCUGGGGGAUUCAUAUAAUACUGCAUGGCUUGAGUAUAGUAGAGGGUAGUGGAAUUUCUGGUGUAGCGGUGAAAUGCGUAGAUAUCAGAAGGAACACCGGUGGCGAAGGCGGCUACCUGGACUAAUACUGACACUGAGGCACGAAAGCGUGGGGAGCAAACAGG
rnacentral:rRNA from 1 species